GCCUAGCUACUGAAAGACCCCCAGAGUGAGGAGACCCUCACUCAAGUCUCGGGAUAAGCCGACGUCCCAAUAAUUCAAGAGAGACG
rnacentral:pre_miRNA from 11 species